GGGUGGUACUUGUUUCCGCCGGCUAGUGCCGGAACAGCUGGACAGCUCACCUCGCGUGACUGUUCGUGCUGCCUGGCGUUUUACUUUGAACAAAUCAGAGUGCUCAGCACAGGCGUCUCGCCUGAAUGUUCGUGCAUGGAAUAAUAGAAGAGGAUUUCGGUCCUAUUUUAUUGGUUUUGAGGACUGAGAUAAUGGUUAACAGAGACAAACGGGGGCAUUCGUAUUGCUGCGUGAGAGGUGAAAUUCUUGGACCGCAGCAAGACGGACAACAGCGAAAGCAUUUGCCAAGAAUGUCUUCAUUAAUCAAGAACGAAAGUCAGAGGUCCGAAGGCGAUCAGAUACCGCCCUAGUUCUGACCGUAAACGAUGCCAACUAGCGAUCCGCCGGCGGAUUCCAAACGCCCUGGUGGGGAGCUUCCCGGAAACGAAAGUCUUCCGGUUCCGGGGGAAGUAUGGUUGCAAAGCUGAAACUUAAAGGAAUUGACGGAAGGGCACCACCAGGAGUGGAGCCUGCGGCUUAAUUUGACUCAACACGGGAAAACUCACCCGGCCCGGACACCGCGAGGAUUGACAGAUUGAUAGCUCUUUCAUGAUUCGGUGGAUGGUGGUGCAUGGGCCGUUCUUAGUUCGUGGAGCGAUUUGUCUGGGUUUAUUCCGAUAACGAGCGAGACUCUAGCCUACUAACUAGUCCGCAUGUUCCUUGUGCUGCAUGCUCACUACGGACUUCUUAGAGGGAUUUUCGG
rnacentral:rRNA from 1 species